GCACCGGGCAGCCGGCCUUUCGAGCAUCGCCUCGUCCCUCCAAGGCCGCUUGCACGCUACGGGGCCCGUACCUUUUCGGGCCCAUACAUGUCGUCGCCGUAUUCAUUGAGCAGGCUGUAGGCCUCCUCCACGCACUUGCGCUCGUUCAUGUUGCAGGUAAUGAGAAUGCCCUGUAGCCCGGGUUCCAGCUGCCGGGGCCCGCCGCCGUCGCAGCGCCGAGCCCGCUUGGCCUGCACAUACUGAGCUUUGCCUUUGCGCUUUCCGCCGCUAGACUGAGGAGGCUGCUGGACGGGGGUCGCCAUGGCGCGCGAGCCGAGGCUAGCGAGAAACGUGUUUCUCCUCAGCUCCGGGCUUCCUCACUUCUGCGGGCGCGGGCUGGUUACGUCGUGUGCGCGCCACGGCCUCCCGUAGCCCCGCCCCCAAGCUUCUUUCGGUGCUGCGCCGGGUCCCAGCGCCGGUCGGAGGCAGGCUGUGGAGAAGAAGUAGUCCUACUGCUCACCGGCGCAAGGAUGCUCGGACUUCCUGGGAAAGCCGCUUUCCGCAAGAGCUGCACACACAGGCAUGAGGAGUGGCAGGCAGAGGAAGAGGGAGAAGCCGACUGGGAGCUGGAGGUGGGGCUGGAUCCCACGGUCCUGGGAUCAUGACCUGAGCUGAAGACAGAUGCUUCACUACUUAACCACCACCCAAGGGCCUCUUGGACAUACUUCUUAGCAUUAAAUUGUCACUAUGGGAACAUUUUAAUUUGUAACGUAUUUUUAUAUUCAUACUCAAGAUAUUGUCCCUUUCCAUUUCUUUCCACACUUUUGAUGCUGAUGUCCUAACAAGUGACAUUUUGCUGAAUUAUUGUUUCAGGUGCACUUGGUUUGGAUAGGAAAUCACAUCCUCACUUCUUGAACAAAAUCGUGGAGAGCCAAAAAAGGGUUUGUCCUUUUUGGCUCCAGGAAGAAUCAGCUAAUCCAGUGACCCAAAAAUGUGGAGUGGAUGGUAGUAGAAAGUCAGGAAUAAAAAAAAACCUCUUAGUUAUUGUAAGGCCUGCAUCUCUCAGAUUGACAUUCUUGUGACUCCCAUGACAAAGUCAUGCUGAUAUGAAAUAGUAGUCUAGAAAUCCAUAUACAUAUAAAAGAAUUUUUGCUGAUAGGAAAGGAUUCUUCUUUUCUUCAAUGAAAUAUCCCUUGCUAUUUUCUUCAUGUCUGGCCCCCAAAUGUUUAAGAAUGCAGUCAUUAGAUAGGUAAGCAAUCCCUUCAUAGUUAACAUCAUAAUAUUCCACAUACCCUAAAGUUCAGAAUCCAACUCCUUAUAUAAGUUCAAGUAAUUAAAAGUCAACUUGAACUUUAUGAAUCCCUUGUGUUGGUGUUCCACCUUUGACGGUGUAUUACUUUGGUGAGCAAAUGCAGGAGUGCUGUGCAUUUUAUUGAUGGAGAUAUUUCAAUCUCACAUUUGGAGAUUUAAUUAUUUUUUUUUAAUAAAUUUUUUAUUUAUUUAUGAUAGUCACAGAGAGAGAGAGAGAGGCAGAGACACAGGCAGAGGGAGAAGCAGGCUCCAUGCACCGGGAGCCCGACGUGGGACUCGAUCCCGGGUCUCCAGGAUCGCGCCCUGGGCCAAAGGCAGGCGCUAAACCGCUGCGCCACCCAGGGAUCCCUGGAGAUUUAAUUAUUAUGUAUGAAACAACAAAAUACUAAGAAGAGGAAAAGUAAUUAGCCUGAUGUUGAACUUCAUGGUUAAUUGGGUUUUUUUCUUCACUAUAUGUAUGUGUAAAUACAUAUGUAUGUGUAUGUGUAUAGUUGUAUAUAUAUACAUGUAUGUAUA